UACGUAGGGCGCAAGCGUUGUCCGGAAUCAUUGGGCGUAAAGCGCGCGUAGGCGGCCCGAUAAGUCCGCUGUGAAAGCUAACGGCUCAACUGUUGAAAGCCGGUGGAUACUGUCGGGCUAGAGUACGGAAGAGGCAAGUGGAAUUCCUGGUGUAGCGGUGGAAUGCGCAGAUAUCAGGAGGAACACCAAUAGCGAAGGCAGCUUGCUGGGACGUUACUGACGCUAAGGCGCGAAAGCGUGGGGAGCGAACAGG
rnacentral:rRNA from 1 species